GCCUGGGUGGCUCAGUCGGUUAAGCAUCUGACUUCAGCUCAGGUCAUGAUCACGCCAUCCGUGAGUUCAAGCCCCGCGUCGGGCU
rfam:Felis catus isolate Cinnamon breed Abyssinian chromosome D1, whole genome shotgun sequence.